rnacentral:tRNA from 1 species
CGCGGGGUGGAGCAGUUCGGUAGCUCGUCGGGCUCAUAACCCGAAGGUCGCAGGUUCGAAUCCUGUCCCCGCAACCA